CCAGAAACAUUCUCAGAGAGCUGUGGUUUUCUCUUGUGUGCUGGUGUUGGUUAAGUCUUCUUAAUAAUACACACACACUCUCACACAUACAAGUGUAUACACAUACACAUACAUACAUUUAUUUCUCUUUUCUUCCAAGUCCCCACUGAACUCCAGCAUGCCUGAGAAAAUAUAAAUCAGAAUUUAUCAUGUUUUGCUGCUUUCCCCCGGGGUGGUAGGGUCAUAUAUAUAUUGCUAGAAAUGAUCCACCCACUCGUUGCUCUCAGGGUCCUUAUAGAACUGAACACCUGACCCUAAACAAUGGAGGGAAAGAUUCAAGGGACUGCAUUGCAAGGAAUGGAAUUUUAAACAGAUUCUCAGUAUCGGCUUGUAGAAUGACGCUAGUUCCUGAGCAUGUCCUGUCUGAAAGAAUGGUCACUGGCGCAUGCAAGCAAGCCAUGUCACAUUUUCUUAAUACUGACACAGCCUCCAGGGCAGGAAACAAGCCCCACGCAGGGAGUCUCCACACCAGCUGAGCCCUGGCUGCACCCCUCACUAUCUGAGAGUAUAGGAAGGCCCCCUUACCUUUCUGGAGUCCCUCGUUUUCUCUGUGAAAUGCAGCAGUAAUACUUGUUACUGUGACCCCCUCCCCACAGCAUCCUGAGGGUCACCAGCACAGACAGUAGGCAAGUGCUUUUUGCCCCAAUGGAGAGCUGUACAAAUGUGAUGUGCCAUCAUGAGCACAGGGCAGUACCGAGGAUGGCUGGGAUGGCCAAUGAUGUCUGCAAGAGUGGGGUCCUGCAAGGAACCUUUGGUUCAAACAGGACUCUCAAAAAUCUGGUUUUCUCAUGAAUGUCCUUAUUUUAUUGGUCCUACACAUUCCACAGCCCUAUAAUCCGAACAUCUAAUCCUCCUAAGUUUUAAAACUGCCCAGGGAUCCAGAUACACCAGAUAGAGUGGUAGAGGUGAAGAAGCCAAAUAUAGAGACCAAGUGUUUAAUCCACCGGAACAAUGUUUUAGGCACAGAAACAGGUUAAUGUGCUAAAAUGGCAAUGACAAGAGGCAGAGAGAUGUGGGCUUAACAUAAAGUGGGCUUCACAAAGCUCUUUAUAAGUGUAGAACUCAAUUUUAGGGAAGAAGGGGUUAUCAGCUUUUGACAAAUCCAUGUCAGUAAUGCCUACUGCAGAUCCUCAUAUACCUUGGAUAUUUGGGUGGGAUGGGGUGGGGAGAAGAGCUGUGUGCAUGUACAUACACAUUUUGGAAAAAUGUCCCAGGUAAUUGUUAUAUUGUCUCUCUCUCCUCCAUCCCUCCAUGGUUGAGAACUCCUGCUUGAAAUCAUGAGCUCCACAUUAUUUGCAAUAGCCAAACUAUGGAAGCAGCCCAAGUGUCCAUCCAUAGAUGAAUGAAUAAAGAUGUGAAUAUUAUUCAGCCAUAAAAAAAGAAUGAAAUCUUGCCCUGAAUAGAGGUAGAGAGUAUAAUGCUGUGCAAAAUAAGUCAGAGAAAGACAAAUACCAUAUGAUCUUACUCACAUGUACAGUUUAAGAAACAAAACAAAUCAGCAAAGGAAAGAAAGCGAGACAAACCAGACUCUUAACUGUAGAGAACAAACUGGUGGUUACCAGAGGAGAGAUGGGUGAGGGGAUGGGGGACUAGAGUACACUUUGUUGAAAAAUUGAAAAAUAAAAUAAAGUAAAAUUAUAAAAAAAUAAAAUCAUAUACUCCAGAUAGACAUUCACUGAACCAAGCUUGUGGCUUAUUUAACCUCCAAUUCAACUCAUGAGCACCAAACAUCUUCCUUUCUGCAGAGCUGACUUUCUCACAUGGUUUGUAUCUAUGAAUUAUAAUGACAGUGAUAACAAAAUGAAUACCUUCUACAUGUACAACAAUGCCUCACAAUCUGCAAGGCCCCUUCCCAUCUAACUAUUUCAUUUGAUCCUCUCAACCUUAUCUCCAUCCGACAGAAAGGAGCUUGUGGCUCAGAGAAGUGAAGCGACUUGCCUAAAGUCACACAGCUAAGAAAAGACUUGAGUUAAAUGCAGGUUUCCCAGAUCUUUAUUAUACACAGUUCUCUCCACUCCUGCCACACAAAUAAAAAUAACUAUUGGGGCUGUUAUUCAACCUUUUGUCUGUUUUAAAUACUCCUAGUAACUGCAGUCAAUACCAAGCUAAGCAUUUUAUAUAUAGUAUACAGCUUCAUAGUAGGUAUUACGGCCCCAUUUUACAGCUAAAGACACUGAACCUCAGGAGGGAAGAGACUAACCCGAAAAUGCAGUUGUCUUAGGCAUCUUCUCAUCCCAGAUUCCCGCUCCGUGUGUCUGCACCAUGGAUCUGCUUUGUGACCCCACAGUACUCUCAUGCUGUGUUGGCAGCAGCUGUUCAGACACGUCUUCUCUCCGUGACACUGUAGUCUCUCCAAAUGCAAGGCGAUAUCUUAAUCCCAAGGCCCUCCAUACCAGUCCCAGGGCUCACACGUACUACAUGUGUGCAUAAAUAUCAUGGAGCACAGAGAAUACACCCAGGACUGGAUUUUGAACCCAUAUCUCUCUGACCUCUGAAUGCUUUAUUUGGUUCUAUCAAAAAAUGGCCCACAAACAGGUCCGGAAAAACCCAGGUUCUGUUCAGAGAAAACUGUUCUUCUUUCUGAAGUGACUCUAGCCAUUUCUCUGGCCAGAACUAAAGGUGUAAUUGGCUUUUGAACAAAGAAUGCCAACCCUGUCCCCAAAGCCCACAGUGCCUGGGUGAGACUAGAGCUAGCUAGGCAUAAUUAGCAAUUUUUUCCUCUAGUCUCUGCAUUAGAAAGAUGAAGUUCCAAUUAUAAAUGUCCUAAGAAAAUUGCUACUCAAAUGCACAGAGUGAUUUUCAAGGCAUUGACACCUCCCUGGUUUGCUUGCUUAUUAGAUACAGGGCUUGAGGUGGAUGGAGGAGUAUUUAACAGCUAGUUUUCAGGCCAAUGAAUCUGAAGAAAUUCUCUUUAUUGGUCUGCAAGAGGAGGUGGGGAUGGGGGAAGCAGAACCAGAUCUGAUAAAGGAGAUUAAAUGGCCUUAUACAUCUGACAGCAAAGAACAGUCCCCAUGGGAAUCCCAAAUCCUGCUGGUGCUAAUAAAGUGCACGAUAUUACUCCGGUAAUAUAGUGUACAAUAUAAGGCGUCCAGAUGCCGGGGCCAGAGCCACGACCUACAUCUUCCGCAAACCAAUUUUCUGCUGGGUUGGAUGUGUAAAAAAGAAUCCAAAUACAGAUUUUUUUUUCGUUGAAAGAAUUGCUUCUCUGGCUUUUUUACCUUGGCCUGUCUGCUCCUCCCACCCCCUGCGUUCUCAAAGUGGGAAUUACUUCUAAUCCACUCACAGGAGAAAUCACUGCUUCACUCAACUGUGGGCUAUUACAGGACAAUUGGGCUGCUUGUGGGCCUCCCAGUAGCAGUGGGGUACAGGGGAACAAACGUAGAAUUUGCAAUCACAUGAACUAGGCUCAAUUCCUUAUUUUCCUAUUUAUAUGUCUCCUUGAGCAAAUUUCCCUUGCUUCUCUAAGCCUGAAUUCCACAUCUCCCUCACAGAAAUGCUCUGAGCGCUAAAGGUACUGCAUAUGAAGUGUUUGGCACAAGUGCUAUAACAUAGGAUGAGUUUCAUUGACAAUAACAAUUAUUAGCAGUAGUACCAGCAGCUUCCAUUUGUAAAACUUAAAGGUAUCCUCUUAGGGGGAGGGCAUUUUUUUGGCAAGGAGUUUGGGGUGGGGGGGUAGAAGCAUGGAAGCUUCUUAAAAAAGAUGAACAGCAACAGUGCUUUAUUUGUUGAUGACCAGCUCCUGAGCAUCUGCCGAAUGUGAUGUUAUAAGCAUUGUUACGAGCACCAAGAAAAUGCAGAUGGUAGUCACUCCUUUUCCAAAACCUUGCAGACUGCUGAGGAGACUGCAAAAUGUCAUAGCACGUGCUGCAUGCUACUCUGUCCCUAGCAACUGAAUGUCAGUCAUCUCAUUUGACAAUCUCAGGAACUUCACAAAGUGGGCAAGACAUGCAUGGUUCAUCCCCACUUCAUAGGUAAAAAAACUGACGCUCAGAGAGAUGAAGUGGAUUGACUAAAUUCAGAGACAAAGUAGAGCCAGCAUUGGGCAGGCCUUCUAAAUGCUCGUCUCUAGUUCUUGGGUUUUAACCACUGUGGAAUGGCCCUGGCUUGGCCUGUGAUUGAAACGCCAGCUCCGGCCAUCUCAGAAUUCAUGGCAUUUCCAAUGACUACAAUCAUUCUGUUCAAAAAAUGUUGGGGAUUUCUCAGAGCCAGCCCAGUGUGGCAUAUGAGAGAUGCUAUACUAAUGUUGCUUGGCUGAUUAUAAUAAGGUAAUAGGGAUCCCUGGGUGGCGCAGCGAUUUGGCGCCUGCCUUUGGCUCAGGGCACGAUCCUGGAGACCCGGGCCAGGGAUCCCCCCAAAUGCUUUCUAAGGACUAUUUCAUAUCAUCCUUAGGAGGAAGGCUAUAUCAUUAGCCUUAUUUUACAAACAGAUUUAGAGAGGUUACUUGCUCUGGGCACAGGUGGUAGAAUUUGGAUUUGAACUCCAGCAGUCCCACAGGCACUAAUGACCUCACCCUUGUUUAAUCCCUGGCACAAUCCUACCAGUGUCUUCUGGAGAAGCCCAAUGUUCACCGACAUUAUUUAAUGACUGCCACUGGGAUCCCUGGGUGGCGCAGUGGUUUGGCGCCUGCCUUUGGCCUAGGGCGCGAUCCUGGAGACCCGGGAUCGAAUCUCACAUCAGGCUCCUGGUGCAUGGAGCCUGCUUCUCUCUCUGCCUCUCUCUCUCUCUCUCUCUCUCUCUCUUUGACUAUCAUAAAUAAAUAAAAAUUAAAAAAAUAAAAUAAAAUAAAUGACUGCCACUAACUGCCAGACAUAGCCUUCGAAGCAAUUUAUAUUGACUCAUUUAAUCCUCAUAAACAUUUCAUAAGAUAGACAUUGCUACCCCAUUUUAAAGAGGAGGAAAACUGUGGCUGAGAAAUGUUGACUGUUUGCCUAAGAUUGCAGAGCCUGCUAAACGCAGAGGCAUUUUCAAACACAGAAAUAUCUGGGGAAAAGGUUCAUUCUUCCUUCAAAAACUCUGGAACCUCCUAAAAGGAGGCAAUCUGAAAUACACAAAAGAAAAAGAGACAAAGAAGGCAACUGGAGGCAACAGAACCAAAGGCCUACAGGGUUCUAACUGCACAGCUUUCCAAAAUCAGGGAGUGUAAAAUUUGCAAAAGACUGGAUUAGUCUGGAAAGGCCCAGUUGAGGAAGCAAACCUCUAAGGCUUUGAAGACUGGAAGAGAUUUGGAUGGCCUAGGUAUUCCACAUAUUCCAGAAAAGCACACUCAUAAUUCAAGUGGAGUCUACAAACAGAUCCAGGUAGCAAAGGGGAACCAUGGUCAAUCUGCAAAUGGUGGAGGCCUCCCUUGCAGAAUUAAAGCUUGUGUCCAGGACUGUCUUUAAGCCCCAUGCCCAUAGCACAUUGAGAUCUCUUUGUUCUCCUUUAGCAUGCAGUCCACCAGGAGCCAGAGUAACAAUGGAAAAAGUCAGAGAGGAAAUAAACCAUGAAGGAAAAAAUAACAUACACAUCUCAUGUGGGGUCUUCUGGGAAUGAAGGAGCAGGACAUGGAGGGAGGGAAUUCAAGCCCCCCUCAGAUCUUCUUUUGCUCAUUUCUCCUCCUUUCUUUCCCCUUCCCUCCACAGUAUUCUGCAUGCAGUAGCAAAUGUAUGAAUGCUUGGAUGGCUUGGCAAAACACUCUCCAAGAUUUAUUUCUGUUGGACAAUCUUGCAUUCUUUUUUUUCCCCCUGCUGACAACUCUGUCAACAGCAGGCUCCUCUGCGAGGCUGUGAAUUUGGAAAUCACAUUCUUGAUUUAGACAUUGUUGCUUAAAAAUCAGACCAAGAAAGCAGACUUCUGAGAUCAGGGUGACCUGCAGAACUACUUGGUUCAUUACCUGGGAGUCAGUGAGACCCUGGAGCUUGGUAAAGAUACUAUCCAGAGUGGGGUAUGGGGCAGCAGUCCUGGACAAGUGGUCAGUUCAAGGCAAAGAGGUAGUUCCAGUAGUUCAAAAACUAGAUCUUUUUGGAUGAGAUCUAGUAGUAGUCUUAAAUUAAUUUGAAACUCCAGUGCUGAUAAGCCACUAGGUAGCAGGGUACUAGAUAAUGUGAAAAAUGUUUCAUCAAGUGCUAAUGGGAAUGCAAACUGGUGCAGCCUCUCUGGAAAAUAAUAUGGAGGCUCCUCAAAAAGUUAAAAAUAGAGUUAUCCCAUGACCCAGCAAUUGCAACACUGGAUAUUUACCCCAAAGAUACAAAUAUAGUGAUCCGAAGGGGCACCUGCACACCAGUAUUUAUGGCAGCAAUGUCCACAAUAACCAAACUUGUAAAGAACCCAGAUUUCCAUUGACAAAUGAGUGGAUAAAAAAGAUGUGACAUAUAUGUUCCAUUACAUAUAUAUUAUAUAUUAUAUAUUACAUAUAUAUAUAUGUAUAUUCCAUUAUUAAAAAUGGAAUCUUGCCAUUUACAAUGACAUGGAUGGAACAGAGGAUAUCAUGGUGAGUGAAAUAAGUCAAACAGAGAAAGACAAUUAUGUGAUCUCACUCAUAGAUAGAAUUUAAGUAACAAAACAGAGGAUUGUAGGGGAAGAAAGGAAAAAAUAAAACAAGAUGAAAUCAGAGAGAGAGAUAAACCAUAAGAGACUCUUAAUCAUAGGAAACAAACUGAGGGUCACUGGAGAGGUAUAGGGGGCUGGGGUAACUGGGUGAUAGACAUUAAAGGGGCACAUGAUGGAAUGAACACUGGGUGUGAUAUAAGACUGAUAAAUCACUGACCUCUACCUCUGAAACCAAUAAUACAUUAUAUGUUAAUUAGUUUAAUCUGAAUAAAUAAAAUUUAAAUAUAUAUGCAUACACACAUAUACACACAUAUAUACACAUACACACGUAUAUGCACAUACACACAUAUAUACACAUAUGCAUACACACAUACACACAUACACAUAGAGAAAGAGAGAAAGGCCUUCCCUAUGAAAGGAAGUUAGGUCUAAAUUGCAAAGGAUGAACACAGCCAGGCAAAGAUGCAGAGAUCAGGGUGGAAAGGGGUUAUGGGGCAUACUAAGUGCAGGAUGAACAAAGGCAUAGCCUCCAAGAUCUCCAUUUUACAGAUGUGAAAACGGAGGCUCAGAGAGAUAAGUAAUCUACUCAAAUUACCCAGGCAGUCAGUGCUACAACUAGAAUUUGCUCCAAAGUUUGCUUUUAACCACUUCACUAUACUGUUUACAUAUUAAACAUGGAAUACAAUACCUUCAACAGGGUCAGUAACUUACUCACAAGCACACAGACAGUUGGUGGCACACUUGAGAUUAGAGCCCAGGUCUUCCUCUUCCGGAUCCAGUGCUCAUUCCAGGGCUAUGUUGCCUCUAUACAUCUCCCAGCCUUGCUGAGUCCCAAAUUCCCCACCACAUCCUUGCUCCUGGAUCCUUUCCAUGGCUCCCUCACUGUGGAAAUUCAGUCAUCAAGACGGAUGC
rnacentral:lncRNA from 1 species